UACGAGGGGGGCGAGCGUUGUUCGGAAUUAUUGGGCGUAAAGGGUGCGUAGGCGGUUUGGUAAGUCUUAUGUGAAAUCUACAGGCUCAACUUGUAGUCUGCAUGAGAAACUGCCGGGCUUGAGUAUGGGAGAGGUGAGUGGAAUUCCUGGUGUAGCGGUGAAAUGCUUAGAUAUGACUUAGAACACCAAUUGCGAAGGCAGCUUGCUAAACAAACAUUGACGCUGAGGCACGAAAGCGUGGGGAUCAAACAGG
rnacentral:rRNA from 1 species